GAUCAGGAUAGGGCUUCAAGAGUUAAUGAUCACCCGUGUCUUUUGGGAGAAGAUGAUGUAAACCCUCUACAUCAUGUGACACUUUAAUAAAUAAUAGCCCACAGCACACAGAAACAAACCCAUUGAGGAUUUGAUCAGAACAGACAGGAUCGUUGUCCAGACGAAGAGUGUGGAAGAAACACGGGAGAGUGGAUAUUCAUUUCGGAGAAAAAUAUGUGCUGCCUGCCAGUAGACCACGCGUUGCCAGUGAUUUGCGGUUCGGUCUCUGCCUACAGAUCCACAACAUGCACGGGGACGCUUGCAUCCCGCCUGAGGCGGAUCGGAGACCAGUUCGAAAAAAAGCGCAUGACAAGAGAAAAGGGCAGUGUGGAAAACAUCAGGAGCAGAGGGCACACAUUUAAACACUUUCACCUGAUGUGCACGGCAAUACAAGUCACCCUCCUCAUACUGUAUGUCAGAAAGCGACAUCUGUAGAAGCAACAGUUCAACCUAAGCAUCAUUGAAGCCAGCAACAGAUGUACCUGUAUCAGGGGGAGCGCAGCUGUUGAGUGUUUACAUAAGAGUAAUGCGACUGUGGUACGCCACAUGGACGCAAUGGCUCUCAGUGGACUGGCAUUGGACUGGCUCUCGAUGUGGAAUUCUGCGCAAGAUCUACAUUGGCAUGAUCAAGACCACGUUAUUUUGUUUUUUGUUACAGAAGCCAGAAUCAAUGUUGGGCAUCCGUAGUAUCUAGUCUGUUGUAGCCUAUAUACCAUCUGGUUGUUUUGUUAUAUUGCUACCUGAGUUACGGAUGAUUCCGUUUUGUUUGACAGGUUGUUGGAAUCAAGAAGUGUAUUAAGAUAUACACAAGGGAGACCAAAUAUACCACGCUGACGUCAUUCUCCCUGGGUGUUUGCUAAGGGAAAAUUUGACAAAUAUUUCCCAAGGUUUCCUUGUCACAGCACUGUUGAACAACCUCUUGUACAAGCAAUGUUAAAUAUUAUGUGCACUAUAUGGCUAUAUUUACAGAAUAAGCUGGAAAAGGGACGUGUCUGGGGUUUUAUAACCAUGUAAAAAGACAUGGAUUAAAAGCUUUCAUUUGCACAUUGCACUGAAAUGUUUUUAUAAGCAAUCACAAUGGCUAAAGUCUUCAUUCACUGUUAAACUUUGAAAUAUGACCAAUGAAUUUUGGUGAGAUGUUUUGGUAUUCUUUGUUUCUUUGUAUGACAAGAUUUUCAAAAUGCAUUUUGAUAAAUCUUUCAGAAAUAUUUUCUAGAAGUUUUCUAAAGGGCUUUGGGAACUUUGUGCCAGUGUUAUUUCAAACAGGGCAGCAAGUGGCAUGUUAAUGAUGUUUACAUAAGCAAAUGCUUUUACAUAUUUGUGCAACCUGUGUUCAGUCUGUCCACCUUAUUAUUUAUAUGGCAGGUCAAAUAUUUAUUACCUUGUGUAGGCUGUGCAUAUUACAGACAAGAAAGAUAUACACUGAAUAAGACUGUUGAACACCGCCACCUGCAAUUUUAUUUACAAUGUUUUGAGUAGCUUAAAUAAAAUAAUGGACAAUAAUGGUUUUUAAAUAAAAUUACUGUUGAUAUUAA